GUCGCGAGAUCGAUCGCGGAGGCAGGAAUGGCGGAGCAGCUCACGGACGACCAGAUCGCUGAGUUCAAGGAGGCCUUUAGCUUGUUCGACAAGGAUGGCGAUGGUCUGAAUCCCCCUGGAUCCCAUUUUGUUCUCCACCUCUUUUUUACUACUAGAUCUGUGCCAAAUCUUGUGAUUUGACAGUUUCUUAUAUGUUUAUGUGAUUUCUUUGAUCGGAUCUAAUAUUUGUUUGUCUGUAUUUUUGGGUUCCGAUGGUUGGGACGCAACUGAUAUCAUCAUCGAUUAUAUGAUCCCACACACUCCCUAAUAUCUUAUCAUUUUUGUGUGCUAUUACUUUACUAUGAUGAUUCAUUGGUAGGUUCUGUAAUUAUUUUCUAAUUAUGCUUUAAAUAUAUUAUUAAUCACUCAAGCAAUUUGUUUUUUUCAGAAAGUGAGGAUUAGUUGAAUGAGUUAGACUGCAACAAUAACAAGUUGUCAUUUCUUUGUUAGAUUUAUAUGAUAAAUUAGUCAAAACUUAAGCUUAGUCUUCCGAAUAAUAAUAUACCGAACUAGAAUCUGGAUGACAUCAAUUGCUAGGUGGGAAUACUCUGGCCUUUUGGGUAUGAGUCAUGCUUAGGUUUCAUAAAUAUAUUGAUUUUACUGACAGAGUCAAAGCUAGGUCAUUGCGGCAUGAAGUUGGCAGAGCAACUCAGUCCAACAUAAGUAGUAAUUGGAUGCUAUUAUCUGCCCUGCAGUUAUUAGUUGAUACCAAGAAUGUUUUGGAGAAAGAAUAGAGUUACAGAUGAAAUUUUAGGUGGACUACAAAAAAAUGUUGAACGUGUUUGAGGAGACUAAGCACUGGUCUGCUUGUGUGUUACUUCUGAAUGCUUGAUCACUGUAUGGUAAUCAUGCUCCAUUUUUAUGCAUCAGGAUUUUUGGCAUAUAAUGCCUAAGUGCUGUUUGCUUUAUGCUGAUGUUUAGCACCUUUAUUAUCAUCUACCUUUCUGAGUCAGUUAUUCAUGCACUAUAUAUGCUUCAUUUUGAGCACUUAAGCUUGUAAAACCGUGGUUUUCUCAUGUAUAUGAUGAGUCAAGUUCUGCUACUAGUAGCAGUAACUAUAUGCCAUUUAUAUGAUCAUGCAGAUUAAAACCAACGGAGCUUGAAUAUUUGGAUAAUCCGGUUGUAUCUCGGCAGCCCAUAGCUAGCCAAUAUCUUUAUAGAAUUUAAGGGUUACCCAUAUCUGCCUGUACAUUAUAUGGAAGGUUCUACUCUACAAAAAAAAGAAUAGGUCAUUUUUUAUGGAACUCAGUGGCAUAUAUGAAUAUAUUUUUUUUCUUACUAAAUAUUGGCUUGAUUUGUAAGUUACACUGUUUGGAAUUAGAUUUACGUAUUAAUUAUGAAGAGUUGGAGAAGUAAGUUUCAUAUUGCUAUAUAGAGUUUUGAAGUGCUCUUAUGGAAUUACUAUAGGUUGUAUUACGACCAAGGAGCUUGGGACUGUGAUGCGCUCUUUGGGUCAGAACCCUACAGAAGCAGAGCUACAAGACAUGAUAAAUGAGGUUGAUGCUGAUGGCAAUGGUACUAUUGACUUCCCAGAGUUUCUUAACUUGAUGGCUCGCAAGAUGAAGGAUACCGAUUCAGAAGAGGAGCUCAAGGAGGCCUUCCGAGUCUUUGACAAAGACCAGAAUGGCUUUAUCUCCGCUGCUGAACUUCGCCAUGUCAUGACCAACCUAGGAGAAAAGCUCACAGAUGAGGAAGUCGAUGAAAUGAUCCGCGAAGCCGAUGUCGAUGGUGAUGGCCAGAUCAACUAUGAGGAAUUUGUCAAAGUCAUGAUGGCCAAGUGAGUCCCCACCACAAAACAAUAAAAACAAAUGCGAGGAAAUUUCAUGGCGGAUAAGUUGCAUGAUGUUGAUCUGUUUCCUCAGUUACCUGAGUAGGUGAACUAAAGAUGGGUGUCUCUCAUGCUAUCUUAUGGUAAUGGCUGUUUGUUCACCACUGCUUGUGUAUCUGUCCCUUCUUCAUUGGAGUGUUUGGUUUCAGCUGGAACUACAUGUAUGCUUCUCUUGUGUUGAUCUUUCUUGUUCUAACAUUACAAGUUCUGAACAAUGAAGAUAUAUUUUCUUCGCCAACCAUGCACCAGUUUCAUAGAUCCUAUUCUUAUUAUCUGGCUUCUAAUCAUAUGUAGUCUGUCAGGUGCUUGGGAUGGUCCAUUGAGUCUUUCCUUGGUUCUCAGCAGCAGUAGAAACAGUAAUUGCAAGUUAAUUGACCUUGUCUUGUCCCUCUUUAUUCCUUGAAUCUUAUGAAUCAAGAAAGAUCAAUGGAAAGUCUUUGCCGGUGGUUCCUUUUCUCUUUAAUUGCUUGACCAGAUUGAAUCCGAGGCUUAUGUUUUCAACAAGAUGUUACAGCAUCGUCAAGACUUGUAAUCACCUCUUAGAUCCAUGGUUCAUUAACUGGGUGUGUCCAGUGACAACACAGGAAGCCGAAGCCAUAUGUGGAUGGCAGCUGCAAUCGUAGCAAGGGAUUGCAACCCAAGUUACCAAGGUUUUAAUACCGAAAACAGUUCUAUGCUUACAGAGAUAGGAUUGGAUAGAUUUAUCUUUCUUGGAUCUUAGAUUACUUCCUAUAUUAUCUGUUCUGUGUCACAGCUAAAGAGGGAAGAAGGAAGGAUAUAAAUGUUUGUCCAAUAUUUACAAGAUCUAAGAUUGGACAACAAAUGAACGUUGUAGAAACACUGGCAGUCCAGAUUUAAAUGCUUAAAAGACAUAAAAGAGAAGAAACGAAUGCUUUAAGCCUUCAAGCACCAUUAUUUGGGCAUAUCGUCAUUCAUAUUCUCUUCGAGUUUGCAGAAAACAUCCUUCGAGUUGAGUUGCUUCAUGAGAGAGGAAGCUACAGCUCGCUUAAUCUUAGCGAGAAAAAUGAAGGAAAAAAAACCUUCCUGGAAGCAAUUAACAAUGCCAAGUAUGCAAACAGUCACAAGGAUCUUCUAAUUCUGCAUGUGCAAUUGAAAUUAGAUUCAGUAACCAAAAUUAUUGAUUCAGAUUAUGUAUUUGGAACCAUUUUCCUCGCAACAUGACAAACAUUAUGCAGUCCAGGCAAAAGAUUCUGCAGCCAACAAGUUUUUUCACAGUAACAGAACUUUACAGUGCAUUACCAGACCUCACAAAAGAGACAGAUCGAUACAUAUUAUUAACAUAUCGAAUCUCACACCACAAGAAUUGAGUCUUGAGAAUGAGAAUGCCAGUGAGAUCACGAGCUCAAUUAAUCUGAAAGUUUUUUUUCCGCACCUGAAACACAACAAAAUGGAUAUAUGACUUUCACAAACUCGGGCGAUGCUAUCCAACAGUAGAUAGAUGACUUUCACAUAUUUGACCCGCAUAUAAAACAAGAGAAUGUUCAAAAAAAAAAAAAGGAAUGGGCACCAAAGAACCCUUGCAUCUCAACAGUCGAGGGCUUAGUUACUAGCAGCCUGCUUAAAGAACCAGGGAUAUAUGAUACAAAGAUGAGAUAGAAGGCCAAAUGAAGGUCUUCAGUCUCCAGGCCCCGUCAUUUUGGUAUAUCAUCGUUCAUAUCCUCCUCAGAUUUCCAGACGACAUCCUUUAUUUGUGUAGACAAACUCCUAUAGAACUGCAGAUGACAAAUAAUUAAUAUAGUCAUUGAUCUGAAGCAGAAAACUAUCUAACUAGGAAAAUUGUUAUUCGAUUUGAAGUAAGGUAUUCAAUCAAAGGAGAUCACAUCCAAAGAUGACUCAGCCAUCUAAUCAAUACCUUCUGGAAUUCCAGAGUGUCUCCUUUUGCUUUCCGUACCUCAACCAUAUGCAAAGAAGGGGCCACUUGGAAUAUCUGAAAGUAAACAACUCUUAAGUUAGAAUAUAACAAAGGUUUUUGGGCCACUCUGAAACUUAAACGACAUAUUGUUAAACUUUAACCUCUGUUGCAACAUUGAGAUAUCCUUUUCUCCCUGCCUUCACAUUUUCAAGCCGCAUCUACAAAAUAAGGAUGAACUUUUAGCGAAAGAUUAGAAGCUAAAACAUUGAGAUUCUGAUAUGCUGCAUUGACCAGUCUAUAAGCAGAAUUUUUUCAUUUAAAAGAGGAGAUAAACUAAGCAUAAUAAGUUCAUCUGUUCCACGGAUUCAGAUACCAUACCUUGUAGUUUUUCUUCUUAAUAUCGAAGCCAAGAGGCUUUGCAGCUUCUUCAAUCUUUUUAAUGAUUUCUUUAGCUGGACACUUUGAUGUAAACCUAGUUUCCUUUUUGAGUUCCUAUCAGGUGCAAUAUGAAUAAAAUCAUAUCCAAUAAGCAAAAGAUGCCACACUAGAACGACAAUUUUGACAUGUUCAAUCCUCAAAAUUAGAUUAAAAAAAUCACAAUAACUUAUUUAUAUAACUGAGUAUUAAGAAAAGAAUUGAAGUCCAAUAAACAUUAAAAAAAUAUUAAGAAAAGAAAGCUAUUCUUCAGGAAUUGAAGUCCAAGAAAUGUGGAGACUAAGGUUCAACUUCAAUUCAAGAGUCAGUGUUCUACAAAGCAAAGUACCAACCAGAUCUUUGUCAAACAAAUUUCCAAGAUUGAGGCCCUUUGACAUUGAAAUCAGUUCAAAUGCAUUCAUAUGCUGUGGUUGCUCCUCGGUUCUUUCUGCUCCAUGGUGAUCCUGAGUGAAAAAUUCAUGGUAAACUCUUCUGGAUUCUGGGAUGAAAUUUAGCUGACCUCUAAAGUAAUAAGAAUGAAGGUUUGCAAUGAUCACUGUUGAGUGCCUUCCUAUAACUCACUUUCGAAUCUCUGAAAGCCACAUUGAUGUCAUCCAAACAUAUGUGAUGUUUUUCUUCAAAACGAGGUGGUUUAUAUCCUUUUCUGAACCAUGCAUCUUCCAAUAUUUCAGGGACAGUUAAUCGCUGCCAUCAGACAGAAAGUCAAGCUGCAAUGGUUAGGACGUUAGAAGUUAGAACUACAACAAUUCUUUUCUAAAUUAAACACGAGCUAGAGAAAUACAAUCUGGGCUAUUGAAGGAAAAUUAUUAUCAAUUUUGACAUGAGAAAUAAAAAGUUCAGGGAGGGCACAAAAAGCUUUGUUCCAAGAAAAAAAAUUAUUUUCAUAACCAUAUAUAGCAGACAUGACCAGGUAUUAACUUUCUUUAAUCACCAUGAGAUUUUCAUUUAAUCACCAUAUAUAGCAGACAUGACCAGGUAUUAACUUUCUUUACAGAAAUUCUUUCUUUUUUUCAAGUUUGAAAAAAAUAAUUUGCAACAAGAAACAAACAACUGAUUUCAGUUGGACAAUUCUUACAAGAAAAUUUAACAUUGGCUAAAUUGGUGAGAAUCUAACUUUUAGAUUGGUGAUAUCAUUCUUCCAAUUUGUAUAAUUACCAAUAACAAAGUUAUAGUAACAUGAUUUAAGGAUAAAAACUUGAAGUACAUCAAACUUAAAAUGACACGAUCCUUGCCAUAUUGUUGUGCAAUAUAUACAUACUGUCUCAGGGUUAGGAUCAAGUAUUCUGGCUAUCAAUCGCAUAGCAUCAAAAGAAAGCCAAGAUGGGUAAGUAAACUCAGCAGCUGAUAUCUGCAAGUGGAGGAAAAGUUCCUUGAAGAGAUAUGAAAAAUAAAAUAAGAGAAAAAUUAGAUAACUCAGACUAUGUUAACCUUUUUAUACAGAGUCAUAAGAUUAUCAUCAUCAAAAGGCAAAUAUCCAGACAAUAGUACAAAUAGAAUAACCCCACAUGACCACAAGUCUGCAGUUGCCCCAUUGUAACCUCUGUCUUCAAUGACCUAUUCAGAAAUAUCAAAGAAUUUCAUUCUACUUAAAAGUUAUCGGAUAUCCAAUAAGAAUAUAAUAUGUAAAGAGUUAUUAGCACCUCAGGAGCCACGUAGUUGGGAGUUCCACAAGUUGUAUGAAGCAAGCCAUCACCCUGGGAAAAUUUGCAUUUACAACAAAGAAUCAAGAUCAACAAGCAAUAAUAAGCCAAACAAAAGGGUUGUAUGCUUUCUGAAAAAUAACACAACUGUCUCUUAACAGGAAAAUAACUCAAGUCUAUAGGUAUAUAUGCUGGUAUGGUUCAACCAGUGUUUACUGGUCCGACCAUCAACUGGUACACAGACUACCCAAACCGAGCAGUCCGAUCUGGUUAUAUAUAUAUAUAUAUAUAUAUAUAUAUAUAUAUAUAUAUAUAUAUAUAUAUAUAUAUAUAUAUAUAUUCAUUCUUUGUCAAUUUUAGUUAGGGUUCAGGACCAUCCCGAUUCCUCCUGCUCAUGAGGAGGCCCGCACUGCUGCUGCUACCAGGUAGGGUUUAGGGUUAUGCUUAAAAGGGUCCUUUUACCAUAGGGUUUACAGCUUUCAUGUAUGCUUACUUAUAGCUGAUGGUUUCACUUAUUAUAGUUGCACUUUAUGAUUUUUACACUUUAUUGGUUUAUGUUUAUUAUUAUUAUUAGAGCAAAAAAUGAUUAAUUUUUUAAUAUGAAUCAUUUAUCAUACUUAGAUUAAAAAUCAAAGAGCAAACAAAAAUAAAUAAUAAUUUAGAAAAAGGAUAUAAAUUAAACUGUAGAGUUCCUGAAGAACAUCAAAUACAAUCUCUACGGCUCUCCUAAGCCUGGUAAUAGAUUGUCUUAUAAAUCUUUCAGAAAACCUUUGAACGACGAAAACAACAAGAAAGAGCAAACAAAGAAAUUUCAGAACUUAUAGGUUCAGCCAAAAGACUAACUCAUAGUAAUCAAACUUUACUAGGAAAUUAAAGUAGCAGUAGAAAUCAUUAAACAAAAACAGAAUAAAAAGAACUAAAACAGGCAGUAGAAACAAUAAAUAUUUUAGAUCCUAAAAUUAUAGAAUAAAAAACUAAAAAAUUGGUAAUAAAAUUACAAAUGGAAGUAGAGAACAUUAAAGAAAUAAUUAAAAGUCUACAAACACGAAUAAAAGAAUUAAAUAAAAUUGUGCAUGAGUAAGGAAGAUAAAAUUUUAGUCAAAGGCAUACAUAAAUUAAGAACAAAAUAAUAUACAUACAACUGAUUUUGAUACAGCUCAAUAUGAGAGAAAUAGUAAUGAAAAUCAAGCAGCUAUCCUCAAUACAAUACUAGAAUAUUUGAUACAAACUAAAACAGAAAUUAUAGAGAAAUAUAAAGGCUAGAGCAAUUACAACUAGAAAAAUUAAAAAUCCCAUCGAGAACAGCAAGAUUAACUUAAAAUAAGAAACUAGACUUUUCUUUUUUAGCUGAAACCUUUUGUAAACCAUUCUUCAUUCUGAAUGAUGUAGUUUGCUUGUUUAUAAAACUACUUUUUGCAAUCUGUCAUAUGCCCAAUUACACUACUUAAGACCAUUGGUCCUUCUAUGUGUAGAAAUCAGGUGGAUCAAACCUUUUAGCUUAUGGUUUGCAGCUUUCAUGCAUAUAGCUUUAAUGUGCUAUUUACAAUAGCCGCUGUUGAUAUCAUUGUAGUUAUUCUUUACUGUCUUUGUGCUGCCUUAAUUGUUGGUAUCAGACCAAAAUGUUUAUCUUCAAUAUAGAUCAUUUAUCUUAUUUAGAUUUCGAAAUUAGAAAGCAAAUGAAAAAUAAAAAAAUAAUUUAGAAAAGGAUACAAAUUAAACUGUAGAAUAGCUAAAGAACAUAAAGUAUAUAGUCUUCAAGGUUCCCCUGUAGAAAAUCUGAUAAUAGAUUGUUUUAUAAAUCUCUCAGAGAAUCUUCGAGAACAACAAGGACAAACAAACAAAGAAAUUUCAGAACUUAUUGACUUAGCCAGAAGACCAAGCCAUAAUAUAAUCAAACCUUAUUAGGAAACAUUGACUAUAUAAGAGAGCAAAUUAAGAAAGUAGUAGAAAUCAUCAAACAGAGUCCAAAUAAAAGAGAAUUGAAAAAGGCAGUAGAAACAAUAAAUAUCUCAAGUCCUAAAGCGAUAGAACAGGAAACUAAAGAUCUAGUGAUAAAACUAUAAACUGAAGUAGAAAAAAAAAAAAAUGAUAAACACAAAUAAAAGAGAAAUAAAAUUAUGCAUGAGUAAGGAAGACAGAACUCUAGUAAGUCAUACAAAAAUUAAGAACGAAAAACACUCCUGUAACUGGUUUUGAUACAGAUAUAUAUGAGAAAAAUAGUAAUCAAAAUCAAGCAGCUACCUAAAAACAAUAUUAGAAUAUUUAAUUCAAACUAAAACAGAACCCAUAAAAAGAUAGAAAAACUAGAACAAUUACAAUCAGAAAAACCAAAUAUCCCUUCAGGAUCAUCAAAAGAAACUAAAAAUAAAAAAAUUAGACUUUUCACAUAUAGAAUUUAAAGCAUCCAGUGGAUCAGAAGAUGGAAACCCAAUUUAAAGAAAUUAAUACUAAAAAAACAGUGAAAAAACUAUUAAGAGGAGGAUAAAAAACAGGAAAAGAAUUAGCAUUAUAUGAACAAGGAGACACACAAGCAUUUAUUGAAAAUAAUCUUAGAAGACAGAUAAAAAAGGAUGUUUAACAUAUAAGACUAGAUUUUUUGAAGGAAUCAAGAAAAUAAUAAGACAAGUAAAGCAAUGCGAUAUAGCAUGUGUAGAUAAGGCAGUCACAACAGACUUCAAUUCAGAUGAACUGCAAAAAUCAUUAACAGAAUCUUCAAAAUUUCAUAUAGGACUAAUAGUUAUUGGAAUUGUAACCCUAGGAAAGGAAAGGAGUAGGAGGAAUAGUUAUGACAUAUUUUUUUGAGGACCAAUUCAAUAAUCAUGAUCAAGCCAAAAUAGCUAUGCACGAGUGCAAUAUGAAUGACAACUAUGCUGGAAUAGGAUGUAUACCAGAAUUCUUACAAUUUAUCAAGAUAAUGUUUAAAAGAAAAAAAUUAUGACAUCAUUCCAGAAGCUAAUAAUAUUGCAGUCACCAUAGGCCCAAUAGGAAAAUUACACGACGACUCAAGCAAGGGAUUUUUAUUAAAAACAGAAAAACUAGUAGAAAGCUAUGCAAGCAGAAAUAUUUAGUAAGUUUAACUUAAAAAGUGGGUUUGACAAAUAAAAACGCAUGAAGAAACUAUCUCUACUUGCAAAGCUUUUCACUAACUUUUUUGCAAUUAAUAAAAAUCCUACAUUCGAAUCAUUGUGUAAUUUUAUAAUUAAUUCUACAGUAAACUGCAAUAUUAUUUGCUUUUGAGAUCAUAUCAUAAUUUUUGCUUUUAAACAGUAUCUUAUCGUAUCUUAAGAAUUCUACGAGGUUCAUAGAAAAAUUUGGUAUGCAUCCUAUUACUGCAUAGUUAUAAUUCAUAUUACACUCGUGCAUGGCUAUUUGGUAGCCUUGAUCACGGUUCCAGAACUGUUGGUUUCGAUUCUGAUUUCUCGAAACUAGGAACCAAAACUGAACCACAUAGGUUCCGAUUCUAAUUCCAGUUUGGGAGUUCUGGUUCGAGUUCGAACCAUCAAUUUUAUUAUUUUUAAUUAUAAAUACUUUAAAAUAUGAUAAAUUUGUAAUUUUAUAUCUAAAAUUUAGAAAAUAAAUGUAUAACUAUAAUGAGUAUAAUGACAUUAAAAAAAGUUAAUAUUAAAAGGAAUAAAAUUAAAAUUUUCAAUAAAACUAAAUUCAUCUACUAAAAUUUGAACCCAAGUUACUUAGGUUUAAAGUUAAGAAUUUAACCAAUACACCAUAAGUUCUAUAUGUGAUCUGUUUUUAUUUUUUGUCCUAUUUAACCGGUUCGAAAUCAGAACCGUCAGUUUCGGUUUCCUAAACUCAGGAACCAGAAUCGAACCAUGUCGAUUCUCGUUCAAUUUGGAACUGGCGAACCACCAGGCUAGUUCGGUUCCGAUUACAGUUCGAACCCAACCAUGGUCAGGGCUACUAUUUGGGCUUGAUCAUGGCUAUUGAACCGAUCAUCAAAAAUAUAUGUCAACUGUUCCACCUAUCAAAUUUACAAUUCCUAUUAAUAUCAAUCCUAUAUGAAAAUUUGAAUACUCUGCUAAUGAUUUUUGUACUUCAUCAGAGUUGAAAUAUGUUAUGACUACUUUAUCAACACAUCCUAUAUCGCAUUGCUUUCGUUGCCUUAUUAUUUUCUUUUUUCCCUUAAAAAAAUUUGUUUUAUAAGGUGAACAUCUUUUUUUAUUUUUUCUGAGAUUAUUUUCAUAUGUCUGUGUCUCCCAAGCCAUAUAAUGCCAACUCAUUUCCUUUUUCUAAGCCUCCUCUUAGUAGUUUUUUCACCCUUUUUUUUAACUGAUGAUUCCUUUAAACUGGGUUGUCAUCCUUUAAUUCAUUAGAUUUUGAUGCUUUAAAUUCUAUUUGCAUAAAGUCUAGUUUCUUAUUUUUAGUUAAUCUUGUUGUUCCCCGAAGGGAAUUUUUAUUUUUCUAGCUGUAAUUGUUCUAGUCUUGUUAUUUUUUUUCUAUAAUUUUUGUUUCAGUUUGGAUCAAAUAUUCUAGUAUUUAGCUAUAUCAAAAUCAAUUGCAAGUAUAUUUUUUGUUCUUAAUUUAUCUAUGAAUUUUACAAAAAAUUUAUCUUCCUUACUCAUGCACAAUUUUAUUUAUUUCUUUUAUUUGUGUUUAUAGGUUUUUAAUUGUGUCUUUAAUGUUCUCUACUUCCAUUUGUAAUUUUAUUAUCAAUUCUUUAGUUUCUUGUUCUAUAAUUUUAGGAUCUGAUAUGUUUAUCAUUUCUACUACCUUUUUUAGUUCUUUUUUAUUCAAACUUUGUUUAAUUAAUUCUACUGCUUCCUUAAUUUGUUCCCUUAUAUAGUUUAUAUUUCCUAAUAAAGUUUGAUUACAAUGACUUGGUCUUCUGGCUGAAUCUAUAAAUUUUGAAUUUUUUUUGUUUGCUCUUUCUUAUUGUACUGAAAGGUUUUUUGAAAGGCUUAUAAAACAAUCUAUUAUCAGGUUUUCUAUGGUAGAGCCUUGGAAACCAUGUAUUGACGUUCUUCAAGGACUCUACAAUUUAAUUUAUAUCUUUUUUUCUUGUUUUUAGUUUUAUUAGCUUUUUGAUUUCUAAAUCUCAAUAUGAUAAACAAUCUAUAUUGAAAAUUUAAUUAUUCUUUACUCUGAUACCAACAAUAAACAUAAACCAGAAAACGUAAAAAUCAUAAAGUGCAACUAUAAUAAGCAGAACGAUCAGUUAUAAGCAUACAUGAAAGUUGUAAACCCUAUGCUAAAAGGACCCUUAAGCUGCUCCUUCUUCCUUCUUCCUUCUUCCUUCCCUUCUCUCCCUCCGCCAGUAAUUCAUGUUAUAUUCUAGCAUACAAACACAUGGUAUGCCAGAAUGGACUCAACCGGGUCGAACCAUGGACUGCUAUAAAUUAGAUGACCAAAACUGCAAACCUUGAUGGUGAUAAUCAAGAAAUUAGGAAUAAAUGUAAUUCUUUUUGCAAAUUUUUUAUAUCCUGCAAUUUUUUCAAAGUUAUAGUACAAUAUUUUAAUAUACACCUAAUUUAUUUUUAAAUUCAUAUAGAAAUACAAUUAAAUAUCUAAUAGCAUCAAAAUAUAGGAAUUCAUCAAAUUAUCUCCACAUAUUUGUAAAAUUGUAAAAUUAUCAUUAAACAUGUAUUUCUCAGUGGAAAAAAGCAACAUAAAGGAAAUAUUAUCCCAUAUAGCUUACUCAUAUUCUGAUAAUUAAUGGAAGGUUAAAGUUUUGUACUUCAACCAUCAAUUUCAAAUGACUAACAAGAACUUGCAAGCAAGGUAUAAAAUAUCAAUACGGUGCCGAUUUCAAUUGACAAGGACUAGUGAAUAUCAGUCUGGUCCACGUUUUGUUUAAAUAUCGAGCCACUAAAUACUGACUUAUAUUGACUGAUAUGGUAUUUUAAACCUUGCUUUCGACUAUUGUUUCAUUUUAGUUAUUUUAAUUUGAUUCAGUUGUCAAAUAAGAAAGUAAAUCAUAGUGCCAUAGUGGUGUCAUUUGAAAAGUUGUUCCAAGAAAAUGAAAAAUAAAGGUCCAUAUAAUUACCCUGAUUUGUUGAGAUAGUGCACUUAACCCAAAAUCAGAAACUUUGAGGUUACCAUAUUCAUCAAGUAGCAAGUUCUCCAGCUGCAAGCAUUAGAUGAAAAUAAUCAAGAUUUAUUUUCUCGAAUAUUUGCUAAUAGCUCUAAAGAAUCUUGAAGUUUGUAGUGUGCAACAGUAGUUGAAUUACCUUUAGAUCCCGGUGAUAAACCCCCCUGCUAUGGCAAUAAUCAACAGCAUUCACUAGUUGCUGAAAAUAUCUCCGUGCCUCAUCCUCCCUCAUUCGACCAUGGUUGGACUUAACGAGAAAACAACACUUAAUAGAAUGAAAACUAAAAUAAUAGGCAGUGGCUAUGCAGACUGAGGAAGCUAAUAUAAAUUUCACAAGAUGUCUCAUGUGCUGAAACACAGGUAAGCUAGCUUGGUCAAGAAAGUAGGGAGCAACAAAGAACUGGUAAUUGUAUACAAUAGAAUUGACCUAGAAAAGUAUGACAUAAAUUGAUUUUAAACUUACAAUUUUAUCAAAGAGCUCUCCCCCUGUAACAUAUUCCAAAACAAUAAAGAUCUUUGAUUUACUGCCCAUUACCUACAAAAAUAGAAGCACAAUUUGAGAGAAAAGCAAAAACACUUAUGUUCAUCGCACAUCCACUUCAAGCUAGCAUACUUCAAAAGCUAGAAACUUGUUUCCUUAACAAACAUCAAUCUCCAAUAUGCAAAGGAAAAUACAACAUUUAACAACCAGUGCUUGACUAACAUCAUUUAAAACAUUUACUUUACUCGAUAAUUUCCUUUGUCCAUGGCAUCUGUUUAUAAGGGCACACUGUACAUCAAGUUUUCAGAUCUCAGACCAUAUUGUCAAUAUAGACUAGCAUUUACGGGUCUGACCAAAUACCAGUUUUGAACAUGGAGUGCGAUACUAGUACGGUAUCAUUCAUUUUCAUUUUGUUUAUUACCAGGUGGUCAGGUCAGUUACCGCUUCCUGGUAUACCCAUAGGAUACCAGCUCAAAUAGGUUAUCAAAACCAGUAUUAGAGAGAGAUUUAAAUCCUCGUUGUGCAUGCUUGCAACUCUGCACAUCAAAAUAAUGAACAUAUUUACCACUCAAGAUCUCUGGCAGUUAGAUAGUUUCCACCAAGAUUAGACUUCUGCUCAGAUUGUCCUUUUUACCUUAAAAGACUUCUAAGAAGCUAGUUAUCUGUUUAAAUAACUUUCUUCUUUGCUUAUGUGUAUCUGUAUGUGUAUCUCUUCUUUUGCAUGACUGCAUCUACCAUGUAUCGUUCCAUACAUGUGCAUGCGGACACAUUUGGUAGCAUCAAUUUCAAAAUCAAUAUUGACUAGCUCAAUUACAAAUGCAUCUUCGUCUACUUAGAUGUUUCAAAGGGCUUGAUGAGGUUUGGCAAAUACUAGUCUACUUGCAGCAAACUAUGGUGUGAGUUGCAUCGAAAUGUGUUUAAAGCAUGUUAGGCAUACAUAUCCAAGAGCAUGCUUUUCUGACAUUUCAUUUGACAGCGCCGAAUGUGCAAUCUUGAAUGAGAUUAAGCUGUGGAACAAAAACAAGUCCAUUAGAACCAUUAAUUUAUGCAACAUAAGUCAAAACUUACGGAAAAUAACCAGAGGAUGACCAAAUGGCUCAUUAACCUGUUCAGGUUUAUACAUGAAUACUUGUGAGUUGUGUGGGUGGGUUAUAUGGUAUACCAGUGCAUUUUAAAAGUUAUUUAAAGAUAGUCAUUUGAUAAUUCUGAAUUAUGAAAACAGCUUUCUUUGUCAUUGCUCUGGAAAUAGAAAUUAAAUAAAAGGUAUCAAGGAUUACCUCAUGCAGACGAACAACAUUUGGAUGAUUUAUCAACUUCAUAGUUGAAAUUUCUCGUUUAAUCUGCAGAAAACGACAACAGCAUUCGAUAUUUAACAUAUUACAUGCUUAAAACUAAGAGAUUACUUGGAGAGCUCCUCAAAAGUUGUGAUAUAGAUAAAACAAUCCAUAAGGAGUUUGAUGGACCACUAAAGUUACGCGUCUGCAAAUAUAAUCAGAUAAAGGGACCAUACAAAGCAUCAUUUAAUAAGAUGCAUCAGCAGCUGAUGGUACGGUGUCUUAAGAUGCAUUGGCAAUUCAUCAAAAAAGAAGUCCAAUAUUGCCAAGAUUCUCCAAGCAGAGAUAACAAGAGUGCUGAACUCAGGUUGCAUCAGUUGGACUUGAAUGAUUUUCUUUUAUACAAAAGAUGUCAAGUGUUGGUUGAUAAUAUCAAUUUUCUUUAUCUCAUGCAUUUGCAAAAACGACAAACAAUGAGUUUAAUGAACCUUUAGGACAUCUGAUAGUAUUAGUUUAUCAAUUUAAUUUACAUCUACCUAGAACCAACAUCAUUCAAACAAUUCUGGUAUUUGACAAAACUGUGCAAAUAUGCGUCUUUUUUGUUUUUUUUUCAAACUUGUACAUCAAAUAAACAUGAAAAAUUAGUUGAUCAUAGUGGUCCAGAAAGAAGCAUGAGAUACCUCAGAUUGAGCUAGCUGAAUCAACUGUCAAAAGUUGAGACUUGGUGGUGCUUCCUGAUAAAGCAUUGGCCACCAACUGUUAUGCUCAUCCCACUUUUACAUUAACAAGGUCAGAAGCACAUCAUUAUAUCAUUUUGACCAGUGAACAUGAAGGUAAGCAGUCAGCCUGAGCAUGUGGUGCUAUAAACAUUCAGCAUCAAUUAACAUUAUCUUCAAUGUUCAUUAGGCAACAAUUUAAAGACUAAACUAGUGUAAUUAUGUUUUAGUAGCUGAUUGAUGGGGAACGUUGUUUUUAAUUCUUGGAGAAAAAAGCACAAGAAAUGUUGGGAAAUUGAAAGUGACCUGUUCAACCAGUUUGUGCUUGAGAACCUUUUCUUUAUCGAGGAUCUUGAUAGCAACAGGUUCCCCUGUUUCGGAGUUUCUUGCAAACCUGACCUUUGCAAAUGUUCCCUCCCCGAUUGUCCGACCAAGCUCGUAUCUUCCCACAUAACGCUUCACCUUUUGUGGGAUACUUGUCUUAGCUUUGUUCAUUAUGACUUCUUUUUGCUAUCCAAGAACUCAACUGCAACAGAUGCCUUUCUAAGUUGACUAAUUGAUGCACCUUGUUUGCUCUAUAGAAGAAUAAGCCCAUUAAUUCUUCAACAAAUUUCAGAGCAAAUAACAAAAUUCAGCUCAUUAUAUCUCCCUGUUUUCAUCAAAAUUCGGAGCAUAUAACAAGGUAAUAGAAGUUAAUCCAGUACUGAUCUUACCUAGCACACACAAGUCAAAGUUCUAAAAUACUACAAAAUUUGCAAAAAGAAUCAACAAGCUAAUAAUAGUCAGGCCACACUCUAGAAGAUACACAAGAAAGGAUCUGAAGCAUCAGCAUAUAGACAGAUUAUUAGUUAACUAACAAAGUUAGGACAAAAUAGGCAUCGAUCUUGUAUACAUAUAUCAGCGAUUUUCAGAUAAAGUAAAUGAGAACUGAAUAUCAAUGCUGAUUCUAAGAAUAUAGGAUGGAGCCAAUAUGUUGAAAAAACUAUAGCCACCAGCUGUCCCAUGUUCAGCAGAUCUCCUAAAGAACAAUUUUAUACUAUACAGAUACAGCCCGUGCAUAUCAUGCAAUAUUUGGCAUAAUACUAGAAGGUGGAAACAACUAGAGGGCCCUUGAAGUGACAAAGAUACAUAAUGUCAUGAACUGACAAAUUUCAAAGUGUGCAUGCAACCACUCUUUCUAUUGAUUCCUGGCAAAGAUAUAAGGAAAACUUGAGAAGCGUGUUGCUACUUGAAUGCCUGAGGCAAACAAUCCAUAGACUAGUUCUUUACCCAGAAGUAGCACCAAGAAGGCCUGAACUAAAGGCACAGGAAAAGAAGAGAACACCUACAUCCCAAAAUUUAUCUGAUAUCCCAGACUCAGAAAUAUCUUAAUAUCACCUAUUUAAACCUUUAUUCGAAUCUAAACAGUGUAAAUACUUAGCUCCAAAACCAGAAGAAAAGCCUUUAAGAGGAUUAAGCAAUACUUAAACCUUUUGGUUAGAGGUAAGAUGCCAAUUUCUGAAUAAAAGACAUGCCAACUUUGUCCACACAAAAACCAUAUGAAUCAUUAGAUAAGCAUCUCAAAAACCAUUGAUCAAUAAUCAGAAUAUAGACGCAAAUAAAUAUACAAGCAAAUCAGAACCAGUAAUAGCAAAAGAUUUUAAAAGUUCAUCAUAAUCUUUAGAUUAAGCAAAAAGUGUUUGCAGAAAUCGCUCUGAUAGGAUCCCUUACGACAAUUAGAUGAAAUAUAAUCUUUUUUACUUUAUUAUUUUAGAAAGGAGAUUAAACAAUAAUUAAAAAGAUGAAAUCCCCUUCAAACAGUCAAUUCAAAAAACAAGCGGUCAACGAACAGCAGCAGAACCACAGAUCCGCCAUCGUCUACGGACAUCAGAUCAGAAUAGGGUUUCAACUGCAUUGCUAUAGAUCCAUGAAAAGAUGUCUUGAAACAAGAAAGGAAGUGGAGCGAUCAAGUCGUGGAGGCAAAUCAAACAGACCUAAGAUUCAGAACCCAUCUACAAAAUCCGAACUUACAAUAAAUAGGAACCUUAAAAAGAUCUGAGAACCCACCUGUUCGAUUUCAAAUAAAUCGAUUCAAACCGAUACAAAGCCCGAAACAAGUACAAAAUUGGAUAUUUAUUGCUACACGAGAUCAAAGAAAAAGAGAAAAGUACCCUCAAAGAGGCAGAGUAGCAGCAUGCAUCAUUCAGCGGUAAAAGUAACCAGAAAAGAAGGCAGGGGAAGUAGCGAAGGAAGAUAACAAGGAUGUGAUCAAUGUGGUGAUGGGAGCUACGAUAUACAUCUAAACUCUCUCCUUCGUUACGAGAUCUGAUCCAACACAAGAAAGCGACAAAAGCUUGGCCCGCGCGUUCUUUGUCCUUAUCUUCUCACUCUCUCUCAUCCUUUUGAAUCGAAGUAGGCCGUAGUAAGAGCGGUGUCUUUUCGUACCAUUUCGACUGACACCCGCCUCCAAGUGUGACUCGUCUCCGCCGUUGACGCCCUGCUCGUCUGCAACUUUUUCCUCCCCUCAGGCUUCCUCUAAAUUUACCCCGUGCUCUCAUUCUGCUUCCUCCAUCACAACCACAGAAUCCAAAAAUCCUAUCUUUAAAUCAUAAAAACUUCUAAGAUCGUAGGAAAAAAUAAGCCUAUGAGAAUCUGAACCAGAGGGCAAAAAUCUCUCUUAAAACAUAGAUUUUUUUUUAUGGCAGCAACAAUUUUGGAGUUUCUUCCGAUCUCACACAUGGUCUGACAAUUACCUUAAGCGAUUCCGAAGUGCACGACGCGUGCACAAGAUCGUCGUGGAGCGCAAGCAACAGCUGCAAGCGUGAUAGCUCCUCUACAAGAUCUGGCUCCGACCACCUUCGACUUGUCUCCUAUUACCUACUCUUCGUUCUUUCCUGGCGACGUAUCCCUUCCUCAAAUGACCUCUUAUCUAUAUCUACCUUCCAUUUUGAUCAGUGACUGUGACAUUUAAAUUGGGAUGAGAUAGGAUUUGAUAUUAUCACUUUUAUGUAUGUUUUUCCUUACUUUUAAUGCUGACGUCGUAAGUUAUUUGUCAAACGAAGGCUAACAAGACAUAUAUAUAUAUAUAUAUACUUUUUUUAUUCGGAGGGGCAAACAUGCUAUUCCACAACUUUGGAAGGACAAAUAUGUAAAACCGGUGAUGCCUAGCCCACUUCAAUCCUGGCCGCUUCGCAUAGAGUUUAUUAGCUCGAAGCUGGAUUGCCCGCCGCUUCCCUUCCUUCCCUCCAUCGAACCAAUCCCUUCCAAUACCAACUGGGAAUCGGGUUUCUUCAAUCAUGGAGGCGGAUGAACCGCGACGCAGUCAUCAUUCUCCACGCCGCGUUGAUCCUAUCGAAGAACAUUUAAUCGAUCAAGGGUUUUUGCCUUCGAAAGACGAGGGCGGGAAGGACGACAUCCACGGGCUGACGAAGCAUGAGUCUAGGGUUUUAGCGAAGAAGUGCGGUGACCGCAAUCGGUUUGCUUGUGGGAGGAGGUUCGGGAUAGGAGAUGUUGUUUGGGCAAAGGCCUUCGCUUACACUUGGUGGCCCGGCCGAAUCGAGAAGAUGAGAGGUUCCUCGGCUUGGGUGUCGUUCUAUGGUUGCGUCAAGUCUCGGUUGGUUCGGGUUGUGGAAAUCCAUGGAUUUGAGGAGAGUUAUGCGCGGAUGCUGAGGAUAGGUGGGGUGAAGUUGUCCGAUGCGGUCAGACUUGCUUUGGAAGACUUGCAGCGGAGGACUGCUUUAGGUUUGAUGUGUUCUUGCAGGAGUUCGGCUAUGGGAGUUAGUGAAGAUUUGGAUGAUCAGAUUGCCGAAGCGACGAGGUUUGAGCCCAUGGAGAUGUUGGGUUUUGUGCUUGAUGUGGCGACUUCGGCUUGGGUUGGUGAAGGAGAAACCGUGAAGGCUGUUAGGAUGUCAGUGCAGAUUUCUGUCUACCGGCAACAUGUGUCGAUAUGUCAGAAUAGUGAAAUAGAUGAAAGGUUUUGCCCAGGUAAAUUGUUGGAUUUUGUCACCACGAUGGCUAUUUGUUGGUCCAUUGAUGAUUGUGACUCUAGCAGUGAUUCAAAAGCAGUGGCACAACUCGAUGGAUAUAGGAAAUUUGUUUCGGUCUGCCCAAGUAGAAGGAAUCUGCAAAUUGUGGAACUGGAAGACAACUUCCUCAGCGAUGAGUCCGAAGGUAGGUUGAUAAGCUCGGUCAAUAAAAUUUGAUAUUUGUGCAACAUUUAUGUUUCUUUACCACAAUGUAUGUUCUAAAAAAUAUGUUACAUGUUGAUAACUUGUUCCUAUGUUAUGUUUUGUCUCUAUGACACAUUUUACAAGUACAUCAAGUGUAACUAGAUCUAGUGAAUUAAUGGAAAGUGGAAACAAAGAGCUUUUUGGAAAAUAUUAAUCUUAUAUAUGCAGCGUUGAGCUACGUAACUUCAUAGACCUCGGAUGAUUAUUGCAGAAUUUCAUGCUGUCUAAGUUGGCUGGAUUCAUUAACAAAUUAUAAUUUGAUGCUUUAUUCUUUUUCAGUUGAGAUGCUCACCAUAGAUUGACAAUCUAGAACAGGUUUUCGAAACCAUGUGAAUUAGUGUGGUUAUUGAUUUUCCUAGAUAAUAAAAUAACAUUGUAAACCAACUGCCUUUACCUUCUGCAGAGAAGUAUGAUGUGUCAUCUGCAAAAAUCAACAAUCAUCAAGUAAAACAGUCAGUAUAGUCCCAUUUUUCAGCAUAAGGAUUAUUCAAAAAGUUCUUGUUUUAAGAAACAUCUUGUCCUCCUCUUUUACCCUCUCAAUAGAAAGUCUUAGAUUCCUCCAAUUUGUUGACAUAGCUUAUACUCACAAGAUUUUCCCUAUCAAGUCCAUAUUUAUAAACUGCUGAUCUGUUGAUGUUAUGUGAGGAAGUACAGAGAGAGGUAAUGAAGAAUAGAUGGUGUUUGCAAAUUGAAGUUCAGUUACCCUUAUCGCUUACUAGAUGCUCAUAGAUCUCAGACUGGCUAUUAAGCUAUUAAGAGUUUUAUACUGGUAUAUUAUAUUAAUUUUUGUCGUGCUCUGUUCAUUUUAUUGAAUAACUCAACAAAUAAUUGGAGGUUCGGAGUAGUUCGUCCAAUUAAUGUUCUAUGCAAGGAUUGAUGGAGAAGAGAAGUAACGAAUGACUCAUUUUUGAAUUUGUAUACUCAUAAACCUUAGAGCAUAUCAGUGUUAAGGGCAGAAUAAAAGUUGAUAAUAGUAGUAUAGCCGAUUCCUCUUGAGAUCAUAUCACUUUGAACUUACCUCCGAGCUAGGGGUUUACCAUUAUUUUCAUCAUUCAUCAGGACCUAGAUUUGCUUCUUCAUGGUUGGCAUUUUUGUUUUCAUAACACCAAAUUAUUUUUAGGUGUAUGAAGUAAACAAACAAGAAUAGGAAACAUGAUUUGGCCCACAUAUAGGUCUAGAAUAUUUUAAAUAACUUUUGUCAGUUUGAGAUCAGUCAGAAUGCAAGUGCAGAAGGUAGGCAAUUCCUCUUUUCAAAUUGAGCACAACAAUUUUCCUUUUAGUUUUCAAGGUUUUGCUAGAUUGUCAACCAGAAACACUUAGAUUUUCAGAUUUCAUUAUCAUUAUAUAACCAGUUGCACUACCUUCUUACCAUGUAUUCCUAAAGAUUCAUGGAUCGCAUGAUGCAUUCCCCUUGUAUUACAUUAAAACCUGAAUUUUAUGCAAAAUAUAUCUAAUUAAAUAUGAACAAUGAUAAAAUAGAGAAAAGUCUAUCCUUCUAUUUGUAACUUGCUUUAGAACCAUCGGCCAGAAAGGAUGUAGAUAUGAUAAGUGAAAAAUGGUCCUUCAUAGUGCCCCUAAUGUAAAUUUUCUUUUCCUUUUUUGCUGGUAGUUAAUUCAUCAUUUUUCGGAGAUGGGUUGUUGCUCCAUUGAUGAAUCAGCGAUUGGGCAUGUUGUCAUUUUGUUUUUAUUUCUUGGGUGGAUAGGCUUUCUUGCACUUUUGAUUUAUAUGUGAGAAAUGAUGCACGGUAGAAUCUUAUGCAUAUUACAUGAACCUUAUAUAAUAGAGCAAGGAUUCAAGUUUCAUCUGGCAGAGGGAUCUUACAUCAAGCUAUGUGUAAUCGUGUGUUGCCAGUGCUUGUUGUUGUACUAUAGCUUUGUUGACUUUCAACUAAUUUCAGCUGGCACAUGGCGCAUGCUACUACAUUCUCAACUCUCGUAUGUUAAUAUUUUAAACCUCACUUUAAAGAUUCUAAAUUGCUUCCCAAUCAAAAGGAUAUGACGCUGAUGUGUGUAAUGAUAAAUUCCCAAAACAGAUGAUUGCCAUGAGAUGUCCGAUUCAUCAUCCGAUGGUGAGAUAGUAGUUGAAGCACGAGAAGUUACAGAAGACAAUCAUUUAUUUGAUAGACAAGAAGAUUUUGAGGUUGUUCAAUAUCAAGUUCAGGGUGAUGAGAUAUGCAUGGUCAACAGGGCAGAUUUCAGUCUCUUUGAUCUAGAUGAGGAAUAUGAAUCUCUGCAGGAUCAUGAAUUAGAACAAGUAGCUUAUCAUGGAGAUUCAACUUGGGAAAAUAUCUAUAUGAGUGAAAAACUUGAGAUGCAAAACUCAACAACUGGAAUAUCAUUAGAAGAAGGUACUGAGACAACAUCCACAAAGGCCUUUGCUUUCACAAGUGAUGUUAAUCAGAUUGCAGAUAAUGGGACUUGUUUUAAAUCGGAUGAACAAACUAUAGACUCCUUCUCUUCUUGUCAAUCAAAUAAUUUGUGCAAAAAUACAGUAGAUUUGAGUGCCCAUAAAAUUGCUUCACCUGGUGAGGUUAUUGAUUAUGAUGGAAUUUCUUUCGAUGAUUCGGGAACAGAAAACCUGAAACAACAGGAUGGCAAUGUUACUAUUUUUGAGCAUAAAGAUAUGCACUCCGCUGUAGGAACAGAGUCUUCAGAUGAAAGCUCUUUGCUUCAGAUUGCGCCAUUGGUAGGCAGGCAGUGGGUCAUCAACCAUCGGAAUGAUCAGGAAACACAAAUUCCAACUGAAGCAGUGAAUGUGAACCAUAAAAUUCAAUUUUCAUCUGAGGUUGAUCCAAUUGUUAAUCCAGGGGGCAAUUUGGAAAUUAUUUCCAGAUUAGGUUCUCUGAAAAGAACUGCUUGGCAAAGUGCCUGUAAAAAAAGGAGGCUUGAUCAUCCUUCUUCUUCCAAAAGUUCAUUUAUGUUGCUAAAAGGCCUGGAACCAGAUGGAGAAGCUAUAGCAAGUGCUGUGAACAUGACUGGAUGUUGCACUGCUCCUCAUCCUGGUGAGGGGGGUAUAUCUGAAAAAUCUGUUUCUAGAAAAGCUCUGAUGCUGUCUGGGUCUGACAAAGAUAUGUCUCCUUCUGCAAAGAACUCUAUUGUUUCUUGUGGAACUAAUCAAAUAAAAGGUGAUAUGAGAGGUUAUUGCAGCACUUUUUUAUUGAAACUUACAAAUCAGACUAAAUUCCACAGGAAAAAAAGGCAUGAUCUUCCUAUUACUUCUGACAUGUCCAACUGGACCAGAUUUUAUGUGUCUCCUCUGGCAAGAGACAUCUCAAAAUCAAGCAGCAAUCUAAGAAAGCCUUCAACGACUGAUAGAGGCAGUGGAUAUCACAAAUCAUUACAUAUGAAGUUCCCGAAAGAUUUCAAUCUUCCUACAAGAGAAGAGCUUGAGAACAAGUUUGGAGUAUUUGGACCAUUGGAAUGUUCAAGAACUAGGGUUUUCUUCUACACAGGUGCUGCCCAAGUGGUUUUUGUUGACCAUGCUGAUGCUGCUGCUGCCUAUAGAUAUGUGAAGAAGAAAAGUAUAUUUGGUGAAGCCAAUGUACGUUUUUGGUUUGAUGAGCAUGAAAAUUUCAGAAAGGAGCAAAAGUCUGAUGAUUUACCUGUCCCCUUGGUGGGGCACUCAUCUUUAUAUCUUACAUCAUGCCAUCAAGUGCCUGAUACACUUCACAUAUCAGAUAAGAAAAAGAAUUGUGGUGCUAACAGUGAACAUGUAUCUGAUGAUAUAUCUGUGCACAUGGAGGAACGCUCAUCUCUAAGUUUUAAAACAUACCAUCAAACACCUGAUGCAGUUCACAGAUCAGAUAAGAAGAAGAGUUGCAGUACCAACAAUGGAACCACAUCUGUACCUAACUUCAACAAUUCUUCUUUGAAUCUGAAGUCUUGCCUUAGAAAACCUGAUUCUCCUCAGGGGAAGGACAAAAGGUGUAAAGUGAGAUUCAUUAUUGAAACAUAGAUCACCUAUGUGUUGUUGACUUCUCUCUUGAAGAACAUGACAUUUUGGUAUCUUUUUCUGGUUCAGUAGCAACUAGAGCCAGAUCUGCUCGAACUUUCAGCUAAUGUAUAAACAAGUAGUUUUUUUGUUUCUCAGCUGUAUAUAAACUGAGAGAUGAGCAUUGCUUUUCAUAAACUAGACUGACACCUUUCUAAUUCUGAUGAAGAUAAAUUGGAGAAGAUUAGAAAUUUUCCAUUCUGAUUAAUCUUCUAUAUAGUUCUUGGGUGUCAAUACAUGGGCCUUUUAAAAGAAAAAGAAGGAAAAAAUGUGACAUCAUUUUUUUUUUAAUCGGUGUCAACUUGUAGGAAAUUUAUAUUUAUUUUUGUUUGUUGCAGUAUGAGAUCCUUCCAAGCACAACUCUAUUUCAUGUGUUUUCAUGGCAUUCAAGUUUCAAAAUUUCUGAUUGAGGAUCCUGCAUAAGUAUUGUGUAUUUUCGAUUUUUAGAGAGGAGCAGAGGCUGAUGCCUGGCAACAUAUAGUAUCUUGAAUCUCAUUUAAAUGCUAGCUCACUGAUGUGCAAACUCACCUGCAAGUUAUUUCUAUCAAGAGACUAUCUAUUUACACUGGUGACUCCAUGUUUUACUAUUCUUCAAUUGAUCUGUUUGUAAUUAAACAUAAUUGCUAUGUUCGCAUAUCCAAUUUAGCAAUUUGAAACAUGAUAUCAGCAAUGCGAUUUAUCUUCAUUAUUUGCUUCCAGUUCACUGCACAGCAUAUUACACUUUUAAGUUUAGCCAUCUUUUUCUUCAUCUCCUUCAUGUGUGUGUAUAUAUAUAUAUCUCAUAGGAGUUAGGGUAGAUGUGUGGUUUGCUACCAACUCUUUCAGAUAUAGUUGCAAGUUCCAGCCUUCUAGAGCAAUGGAUGCUAUUAAAUAAUUCUUUGCUGCAAGUGACUUGUUCAAAUGAUUAUAAGUGCAGAUAAUCUUUUCUAAUGAUCUUAUUUACUUUGUUUAGCUUGUAAUUACUAGGUUGUAGUUUAAUGUUGAUUGGCUGCUUGAUGAUUUUUGUCAGUAUUAUAGUAUCCAUUAAGAAUAUAGUCUUAUAUAGUACUUAUCACUGCAUAUAUGGUGUUUUUUUCUCCAUCAUAAUUAUGCCAAUGAACAUGAAUGCAUCCUGUUAUCAAUACCAUUUUGUUUCUUGGAGCAGUAAAUGUAUUAUCAUCUGCCAUCCAUAAACUUUCUUAUUGUUUGUGUGUAAUUUGACUUGUAGUGUUUGCUACAUCCUUGGAUGACUGCUUCAAAGUCCACUUCGUGGACCUUUUUCUGGGUUCCAUUCGAGGACAAUAUUUCUAAUUUGUAUUUUAUUUGCCUUGAACUAGCUUAUGAGCAUACUCUUCUUUUCAUUUAUACAUUUCAAUUAAGAGCAAUUAAGCCAUCUCAAUUUCCAACACUUUUUGAAUGCACCGAGGAUGAACGAAGGAUGAAUGCAUGCGCAUGUAGUUGGUCUCCCAAAAGGAACCUUGGAACUCCUUGAUUUCACCCGAUACUUGGUUCGGGUCGAAUCGGCUCAUGCUGAUCCGAACCAAACAUGAACAAAAAUAGACCGGGUCCAAUCGGGUCACGCUGAUCCAAACCACACCGACGGCGCCUGUAAGCAAAUGGAAGCGGAUCCGGGUUAUGCUCCUAAGUGCAUUCUGUACCCGAUAAUAAUUUAAUUUUAAAAAAAAUUAAAAAUAGCCAUUUAUCUUAAAUUUAAAAUGAAAAAAGACAAACAAAGGGGGGAGGGUAAUAGAGGGGCUUAUCCUUGAGGCCAAUCCAGUGUCUCCGGAUGUUGAUAUGGCUCUCCUCUCCUCCGCUCCUUUCUCCUCCUCUUGUCGAACUCUUUCUCUUCCCAUUGCACCUAAUCACUGUAAGUAAUCUUUGUGUGUGUUCCCUGUAAUCCAUUUGCUUGCAAGAUUUCUGUGGCGAAAUCUCCUUUUUUUUGGGGGGCGGGGGGGGGAAGAUAUUUCUUUUUCUUUACUCUCUUCAGUAUCCUGCUUGAAUCUAUCAAUCUGAUGGGCUCGUUUCUAGUUUGGGUGUUUCUAAACGCAUUUGGCAGAUUUUCUGUGACAUAGUAUCUUCUCAAUGUAAUCUUUAUAUGAGUUUUGAUUAGGUCUUUCUUCUUGGUGAUUCUGACGUUUGACCAGGCUUAGAUUUUUCGAAAUAUCAUCUUUUCCUGUGAGAAAAUUUAGGUACUGGAAUGGAUUUGUUCUUGCAAAUGAACAUCGAGGGUGAGAAAAUUUAGGUACUAGAAUGGAUUUGUUCUUGUAACUGAACAUCGAAUCUGUUUGGCUUGACUUGUUGUCAUUUAGAUGAUAAGUUGGGCUUCUUUCCUUCACUAUUCGGAAGCUGAAAUGUGAUCUAAUUUCGUUAUGCCAUAUUCUUGGAGCUAAUAAAUUUCUGUGUCAAUUAGUUUUCCAUUUAACAUUUUUUUUUGUUGUAAUGUAAUUAUUCAUAAAUUUAGUGCAUUGGUUUCUCCAGUCGAAGAAUUUCGUAUUGGUCUUGUUGUGUUUUUUUUGGGGUUUCUUACUACUCAUUUGAUUAAACUUAUCUUGAUUUGGUUUAGAUGAGUUAUGAUUGCACUUUUCAGCCUUGAGAUUGCAAAGGAACCUCAUCCUUCAACCAAGACCAUUCAAUGGAGCGAGAGUUUCUUUGCCUUCUCUUUUCAUGGAGAGGAGGUUGAUAAUUGUUCGUGCUUCUUCGGAGACUGAUGGGAAGGGGGAAAGUGAACCUGAGGCUUCUCCAUCUGAGGGGUCUGAAGAGGCUGUGUCAGUGGAGAAUCUUCCUCUAGAGUCGAAGCUGCAGCUGAAACUUGAGCAGAAGCUAAGGAUGAAGCUUGCAAAGAAGAUAAGGCUCCGGAGGAAGAGGCUUUUGCGGAAGCGGAGGAUGAGGAAGAAGGGACGCUGGCCACCUUCAAAGAUGAAGAAGCUCAAAAAUGUAUGAUCAAUGAUGGGGUACCUUGCAGGUUCAGAACUGUCCCUUCAUUCUCCAUCCUGUUUUUCCUGCGUUGGGUAUUGGUGAAUGUUUAUCUGGUUUUGUUGCAUUAUGCUUGUUAACUCCAUUGACUUUUCAGUCAAUGUAACAGUUUUUUCAUGAAAUCACUAUGAGAAUUUCUUUUGGUCCCAAGAAAAUUAAUCAAUUGUACAAUCUGUAGAGUUCUAUCUCAAAAUGGUUUCAUCUCUAAAGGUUUUCCAUUUCAGGGUUUCAGAAUGUAUAUUCCAUCGUCUUUAACCUUUCUCAUGUUAGAACCAAGUGGAGUUGACCCAAUUGAGGGAUGCGCAUGGAUUAUGAAAUUGGCAACUAAAGCAUCUUAGAUAUUCAUCAAUUCUGAAAAUGAAGUAAGAAAAGGCUAUCCUAUGCUCUUUAUGGACUAGACUGUUUUAGAGAGAAAAAAAAAAGGGAAAACUGCAUCAAUUGAAAUCAUUCUCAUGCUUGAUUUACCUUUCCUCAAAUUUUCCACAUGUUAUCUAAGAUUUAUCUUUUCUCAUUUUAAUGUUCUGAGGAUGUUAAGUAGUUUGCUUGUUUGCCUGCGAUGUUAACUAUAUGAAGUCUCCAACUAUGAAGAUUAUCAACUCUGUAGUUGUAGGUCAGACUAUCAUAUGCUAUUUAUAGACCAGGCAACUGUUUGAGAAAAAAAAAGUGGAAUACUGCAUCAAUUGAGACUACUCUCAUUGUUGAUUUACCUUUCCUCACUUUUUUCUCAUGCUAGGUAAAAUAAUAUAUGAUAUCCUUUCUCACUUUCACCUUAGAGGAUGCAAGUCAUUUUCUUGUUUGUCGGUAAAGUCUACUUAGAUAAGUAUCCAACAUAUGAUCAGUUCCGUGAUUAAGGAAAAGUUUUAAGAAAAAUGUGAUCCUUGAUAUUGUAUAUCAGUUUAAAGCCUCUUUUUGUUUCUUCUUGAUGUCUCGAGAAGUUGAGCUUCAAAAGUGUGCUCAGGUAUUUCCAUGUAAAACUUAAUUGUUAAAUGUUGAAUUUAGUCAUAUUCAACUUAUAGGAAUAGUGAGCAUAUAGACCACAGAAAUGAAUUCUGCAAUGGUCAAGAGAAAACAAUUUACAUCUGCUACAUCUAAAUCAAGUAAUUGCAAGUUUACAUCCCGCUCAUAACAUACCAUGAAAUUAUCAUGCUUUCCAUCAAAAUGCAAAUGUAUGUCAAUUACAGACUCGAAUCUACCUAUUAUUGUCCACACAAAGCUUCUAUAUUUGUUUAUCAUAAUUCAAGGCUUCAAGAAACAUCAGUGUGGCUGUUCUGCUGCUCAAGGAACUAUUGGAAUAAAUGAUUAUAUGUCUCUUUCUGUUCAGAUGUCUCAUUCUAAUAUUUCUACUCUGUUCCAUCUAGUCUAUCUCUUCUACGGUUUGAUCAGUGUAUUUUCCGUAGGUUAAUUGGUGCAUAAACUGCAAUGAAACUGAAAAAAAUCUAGAGAUAAAUAGGUCUUCAUACAGAACAUAUUGUAUGGAGUUAGUUCCACCAAUAUGCCCUCAUUUAUAUGCUGUGCUAUUUUCCCAUGUAUUUUCAUUUGACAGCUCUUUGAGAUGAAAAUGUGACCUUCUGCUAAAAAAUGGUGAAGUCCUUGCCAGUGAAUCAUGCAUUAACUUGUUACAUUGAAAUUUUUGAACAAUGCCUCAUCUUCAUGGUGCCACGUUUUCAUAGCACAGGGGAUAAGAAGUCUAGAUAUCUCAUUCAAGUUAUCUCAUUUAAAUUAGUGGCAACAAUAUAGUGAUAGCUAAAUAAUUGAUAUGUUGAGGUUAGAUGUUGGGAUUCUUAAUUUGACUAGCUAUUCCAAUUAUCUGACCAGACCCUAACAUUCUACAUUAUUUCCCAACACUAUAAAGUAGAGAUGGUAGGGAAAAAAAAUACUGCAGUCUGUAUCAGUCAUCCAUAGUAGCUUUUCUUUUCCUCUAGCUGUUCCAAGGAAUAAAAUUGGGCCAUUAACUUUACCCAAUGUUUAGUCUUCCAUCCACUGCAUAGGCCAUAUUUUCUAUUUUGGGAUUCUAUGAGCUAGAGUCCUAAACAAACAAAAUGUGGAAUUGUCCACCAAAUUAGCUCAGGAACCUAUUUUCUACCACAGCAAAAAAAUAUUGAGAAAGUGUGAAAAUAGGACAGUCAAAUUAAGUACUUCCAACUAUUUCAAUUUUACUGCUUGGAGAAAGUAGCAGAACGGCAAUACAAGAUAACCUAGCAUGUAAUUUUGAAUGGUAUCACCCGUCCGAUACAGACGAUACGUAUCAAUCCGAUAAUAUAUCGGUACGUGGACCGUCUGCUAUCGGACGGAACGUGCUACAGUGCUAUACUAUAGCAGUGAUACAGUGCUAUAGUAAGUAGAAGAAAUAUUUAAAAAUGUUCGGUACGCUCAGGUGUACUGUUCGGUACACGGUAUCGUAUCAUAUCGAGGCAAUCUCAAAAUAUCGGUAUAGUACGGUAUUGCAUAUCUUGGUUCAAAGAAGGCUAGACUCAUUGGAGAAACUCUUUAAGGUCAAAAUUCAAAUGGAAAAUUGAAGAUUCAAGAAAGGAUUAAGAGGCUGAACUGUGUUCUUUAAAUGGUCUGGAAUCUUUAGCUCUUAUUCAUUUCCAAUAUAUUAAUUAAAUGGGACAUCAGUAAUCAGCCUUUGUAAAAUCAUUUUUCUUGCUUCUGCUGUUGGUGGAAAUGUAAAAAUAAUGGUGGUCAAAGAUACCCAAAUUUAUUAAGAAUUUAAAAUAGUGAAAGGAAAAAAAGAAAGCAGAAUUUCUCCUUCACUUAAAAACAUAUAUAUCAUUUCAUAUAGCCAUUAUCCAGUGUGAUGGUGGGAGAUAAGGUGGUCCAUGCCUAAUAUACUGAGUUUGUAGUUGUUUUGCCUUGAUCAACCUUCUCUCAUCCUUCAUGGUGAUGGCACACCUUUGGAAAGUCAUUGUUCACGAAAUCCAGCAACCCCAACUCAACAAAAUUCUCCAUCUCCUCCAAAUUUUCAAUCACGGUUGGUGUCCCAAUGAGCAUGCUUGAGAGGUCACAUUGUCACAAAAGUUUGAGGCUUUGGACCAAACUGUGCCAUCACUACAUAAAGAAUCCCUGAAAAAUCCACUUCAAUCUUUAUUGGCCUCCAGUAUGAUAAUAGUCAGCAGAUCAUACACAACUUAAGCUGCUUGAGGUCAGACCUCCACCUGUCUCUGGCAUAAGUAUCAGGAAGAGACAAAACCCACCUUGAAAGGGAAACAAAGUGGAGCACUACAGUCAUGAUGAAGAAUUCCUUGAAAGAAUAUUUCUAACAUACUUUAUGCCUUUCUUUAAUUUGCAGUAGGUUUGUCUUAGCUAUUAUAUUUGACACACUAAAAGGAUGUGUGGUUAUGAUUACAGGUUGGUCCACACAGACCUCGAGGAUAGACAAAAACACUGGAGUUCUCAUGAUAAGACUUUCUAAGUGUUCCAUGGCUUUAGCUUGUCUUGAUCAUGACAAGGAAGCUGGUGAUUCAUUCCUACAUGAAGUUGCUUCUCGGAAGAGGUUUUUGUGUAGGAAUGAUGGUGUACAAAAAAAAUCAAACAUUGCGGUGCUUGUUACAAUGGAUCAGAUAUUGCCUUCUAAAGUCCAUUCCUUGGAUGGCCAAAGAAGAGAAACAUGGCAUCUCCUUGCACUUUGGCAGGUCCAUAGAUGGAUUCCUUUGCUUUUGCCUUUUAUUUAUUUCCCUCCCAACCUUUACUCUUCUCUGCCUUUACAGUUCGUCUCUCCUUCCUUUCCUUCCUUCCUUCCUUCCUCUGCUUCUAUGCAGUCCUCUUACCUACCCUCUACGCUGCAGGAAGAGAACCUAGAGGGGAGAUCGCGAUGAAGGAGUUCAGCUACGAGGACAUCGAAGCUGCGACCAACAGCUUCUCUUCCGAGCAGUUGAUCGGCAAGGGAAGCCAUGGAAGCGUCUACAGAGGCGUGCUGAAAGGUGGCGAGGUCGUGGCCGUGAAGAAGCCAUCGGGAGGAACCCAAUCCCUUGAGAACGACGCUAAACUGAGUAACGAGAUCGACAUACUUGCUUCUGUGAAGAAUCCAAGCAUCGUCAAUCUGAUAGGCGUCAGUCGCAGUCCAACGAGCAAGCUGCUGGUCAUGGAGUUCAUGCACCACGGUUCUCUCCAUGACCUCCUCCACUCGUCCCCCGCCGCACCUGCGUGGCCUCGACGUGCCGUCAUGGCUCUCCAGGUCGCUCGCGCCGUCCUCUCGCUCCACGAGGCCGCCCCGGCGGUCAUCCACCGCGACAUCAAGUCCGCCAACAUUUUGCUCGACGGCAAAUGGAACGCCAAGCUCGCCGACUUCAGCCUCGCCGUAAGAGACGAUAGAUUGCAGUCGCUGAGGUCGACUGUACCAGCAGGUACCAUCGGCUACUUGGAUCCGUGUUACACCGAAUCGGGAGAGUUAGGCCCCAAGAACGAUGUGUUCAGCUUCGGGGUGGUGUUGUUGGAGCUCGUCAGCUCGAGGAAGGUGAUGGACAUGGAGCGCGAUCCUUCGCUGAUCGUGUCGUGGGCUCUGCCCAUGAUCAGAGCUAACCGGCUCGACGAAGUCUGCGACGGGAGAGUGACGUUGCCGGACUACAUGAGGAGGCCGAUCGGUCGGAUGCUAGGCGUUGCUGCGCGCUGUGUGUCGGAGGAAGUAGAGAGGCGACCAUUGAUGGGGGAGGUUGUGGGGGAGCUGCAAGGGGUGGUGGAAGGUGCAGUACUGUCAUGGCCAGUGUGGGGUUCUGUAAGGAGUAAGGUGUGUGGGAGAAUCCAUAGAUGUGUGAGGGCUUGGAGGAGGUGUGUUGAGAAGAGAGUGACCACAACAAGGAUUGUGUGCAAGGAUCACCUGGUUGAUGGUGGGAACGAUGACUGUGAUGAUGAGCGUAUGGGUUCUAGGCAGGAGAUGAGUUGAAGGUAUCCCAAGCUAUAAGUCUUCUUGGUUGGGAUCCCAUGGGAGACAUUUCAGCGAGAGUUGAAGUUUUGCCUCGACGCACAGUUCAUGCUCUCUCCUUUAAGCAGCUUUUUAACUGUUCUUUGUGUAAUUGAAGAGACUUGAGUAGUCCCAAACAUAGUUUGUUUGCCAUCCAAUAACACACACUUAUUACAUGUAUACCCCGGGUUACUUCCACAUCAAGUGUGCAAGAACAUGGAUGGACUUAUAAGGGCUCGAUGGAACUACUAUUAUUAAUUUUAAUUUUUUAAUUUUAAAUUUUUUUAAUUUUUUAAUUUUAAUUUUUUAAUUUUAAUUUUUUUUACACUCAUUUACCAAACUAUUAAGGGUUUGAAACUUCAUAGGAUAUAUUAUAUACCUUUCUUAGUCUUGAGAAUCGAUCUAGUAUUGAGCAUGAAGAGUGGUUUGAGUAAAAAAAAUUACAUAGGAAUAUGAUCGAGGGUAAUCAAGACAUGUAAUCACCAUUGGAAUAGGCCUAUAAGGGUAUAAGAUAUGAAGAUUAUAAUAUUAUAAUUAUUUAUUUAUGUAUCAAAAGUUAGUAAGAAUUUAAAUUAACUUAUAAGGACUUCAUCGGACUAUUAUUAUUAAUUUAGAUAUAAGCAUAUCCAAAGUUAAAAUAUCAAUUGUCGAUAACGAUAAAUGAUAUUAUAGAUGACCUGAGGCUAUAAUAGGAAGGAAUUACAUGUGGGUGAUGGUGAUAAGUUAAUUUAUUAUUUUUUAAUGAUUAAAAUUAUAUAUAUAUAUAUAUAAUAUAAUCUUUUUAGGUAUUUCUCAAAUAGUACUUUUUUUUUCCUAAUUAGUCGUCCCUUAAAAACAAUGUUGAGCUCUUUUCCUAUCAAUAUGUUAGAUUGGUCAAAGGCACCUUAUGGACGAUCCGACCCCACCUAUUGAUGUUAAACCGGUCAACACUUCACCUUUCCUUAUUUGCAAUUGAAUCCAACUGCCUCUUACUCUCACUCCUCUACUCUCUUACCUCGCUAGCUUCUUCUCAUACCUUCGGUUUUACUACAAAGACUUGCAUAUCUUAUCUGUCGAUAAAGCCCCCUUGUGUACCUCUUAACCCUUCACUUCAGCUUCGACAUAAACCCCAAAAGUGUCUCUUGCCUCUCUAACUUCCUCUCGGACCUCUAUUAUCGUUGCAACAUCUAACACACUUCAUGCACCUUAGCCAUCAACUAAACCCCCUUAUGCGCCUCUUAGUCCAUUUGCCUUUUUGCUUAGGGUUUUUCUCUCGAGUGAUAGUGUAAACCCUAAAGUAUCAUGUGCUUUAUCUUGUUAUUUCUCUCUCAAACCUCUAGACUCUUGUAAUUCUAAUGACCUCAUUCGUAUCUUAUAGUGUCAAUGACCCUAAUCUUUCAUAGUCUUUAUAAUUUUGUUGUCAGUUAUGAAACACUAUAUAUUAGUAUGAAAAUACCCUAAAACCUGUCUGUUUUAUGUAGAAUACUUGACUAGACAUGAAUAUUUCUAGUGUGAGUUUCGGCAAUGGUGGUCUUUAAAAUAGUAUAUCAAUUUAUAAUAUUAUCGUUAAUGAUCUUCAAAUUAAUUUAUCGACUAUUUUUGUUUUUUUUCUCAUUGGUUUCAUGGUAAUGCAGUCAGUCUUGACUAUUUAAACACUAUAAUCAUAUAUUAAUUUAUUUAUUUUUAAAUUAGUUCAAAUUAAUUUAUUUUUAGUUUGAUCCAUAACCAUGAUUGCAAAAUUUUGGUUAGCACUAGUGUCAUGGUAUAUAAUUAAUAGAUACAUUUGCUUAAGAUGAUAUAAUAAUUGGCAUAAUUAUUAUUGGUAAUAGUAUAGUUAGUUUACAUUGCAUUUGGCUGGUGUUAGUAGUAAUUUACCUGGUUAAUAAUAUUUAAAUUAGUAUUUAUAGUGUUUUAUUAUCAUGAUCACAACAAUGUAUAGGUCAGAAAAAACACUAUACAUGGCAUGAGUGUUUUUGUGUUAUGAUAUAGUUACAAGCAUAGCAUUAAUAUACCAUAUUGGUAAGCUUAUAUUUGUUUUUUAUUGAUGGUAUUAGUCAUUUGGGUGAUUAAUAGAAUUUUUAUUGUCAUUAUCAAAAUAUUAAUAGUUAUAAAACCCAUCUUAAAGAUACUGAUGAUAUCAUAUUAUGAUAUUGAUUAAUCAGUUUUGGUUAAUAUUAAUAGUCAAAUAGUGAAUGGAUAUUGACGACCUUAAAGAAUGCUUGGUUGUACUAAUAGAAAACAUAUGUAAAUCUUAUUAUAUUUUACCUUUUUACUCUAAGAAUUUGCUAUUAACUUGCUGGUGUUUUAUAUUUCAUAUGGAUGGUUCUCUGAGCAUUUCCUUUAAUUGAUCCAAUUUAUUUGGAUGCUUCUCUACACUUGUUUUGAUGGGUCAUUCGUUCUUAGCAUAUAGGAACUAUAAAUAAGAUGUUAAAGGUGUCCUCGGUAGGUAGAUGCAAGGAUUAUUGAUCUAUUUUUUAUAUUUUUUAUCUAGAUUUAUUUAUUUGUAACAAUAUUUAUAAUCUUGUGUUUAACACUAUCAUAGAUUAUUAUAUAAUUAUGUCCACUAGAUAUGGAGGUGACUCUUUUGGUAAAUAUCAAUGCCGCUACUACUAAGGUGAUAUUUUAUUUUAGUGUAUGUAAUCAUAUCUUAUUGUUUAUUGUAGCUAAUAUUAUCUUGAUACUAUAUGUGUUUUAUAAGAGGAUAAGUGUUUAUUAUAGCUAAUAUCAUUUUGAUAUUAUAUGUGUUUUAUAGAAGGAUGAAUCUAUGAGGACCCUAGAGAAGAAGACUAUGACUAUUAAGCUUAGAACUAUAACGGUUGAGGAGGCUAGGAAUAUUGACUAGGUGGGUGAUACCAUUAAGGAAGUGUCAAUGAUUGUUGAUGCAAAUGAGGCUAUGACUAUUGAGGAAGCAAAUAUUAUUGAGGUGGAGGUUAGGAUUAUUGAAGAAGAAUCUAGGACUAUUCAAGAGGAGACUUUGAGAUUGACAAAGUUAUGACCGUAAACGAGGAUACGUUUGUGAGAACGACAAGAAAAAGGCCAGAAAGAUUAUAAGGACUAUUUAUAAAGUAAACAAACUUGAUGAAAAGGAUUAUAAAAUAACUUAAUUUGUAUUAUUAUUAGAUAAGUGGGGGUUUGCGAAGCAUGUAAUAGAGAUAAUCGACAAACAAUAUUUUUCAUCUUCAAUAAGGUUCAAAUAAUAAAGGAUAAUGAAUCCAACUGUAAGAGGGAAGAAUCUUAUGACUUCACUAAUAAAAAAAUCAUAUCAAAAUCCCUAUAUUCUUAGAAAAAGAAAGCAAAUUACACUUAGGAAGAAAAACAAUAAGAAAAUUAAAAAUAAUGAUGAUGAAUAAUCAAAAGUAGAGGGAGAUAAUCAAAUAAUAAUAAAUAAUACGACUAGAUAAAUUGAGAAUAUGAAUAAAGAAGAGAGGUUGUGGCUCCAUCAACACGUGUAGAGAUUACUAAAAUUGAGGAAGCAUAAUAUUCAUUAUAAAGUAUUUAUCAUGAGUUUCAUCUUUAGAAUUUUUAGAGUUAUAAUUAAUUACAUAUUCUACGUCAUAGUAUUAUCACGAGACAUUUUAACUUUAAAAUUAAUUUCAGUUUGAAUUUAAUUUAUCGUCGGAUGUUUUAUUGUUAGUCUCAUUGUGAGUAGUUAUCUGUAACGUGAAACAUGUAAUCUUAUUUGUAAAUAAAUAGUGUCUCUAGUUAUUAAAUUUGGGACGACAAAAACAUUCAUCUUCUGUAGAUUUUUUUGGAUAUUAUUAGAUUGAGACGUCUUUAUGGAUGAAGAUGUGAUCGACACUAAUUCUAGCAUCAUCAGUUGUUCCAAGCAUUAUUAUGUACAUAAUUUUAUGAGUAAUUUACUUUUUCUACCUCUCACUAAAUAAUAUGUUUCCAAUGUUGUUUAACUAAUUUGAUUAUUAUAUUUUAAUACAAAAAUAUUAUCAGUAAGUAAGAACUUUAAUCUUCAACCCAAGCUAUCAAAUAAAUUUUGAUAGACCGAUCGAUUUGAUAUUUUUGCCCCUUAGCACAAAAUUUCAUUGGCACCUUAUGGUGUUAGACUUUAAGAGAAAAGUUUUUAUACAUUAUAAUUUAUUUUGGAUUGUCAAGAGAUAUCGAAUAAUAUUUAACAAAGACGAUAUAUCCUGUUGCUUAUUUAUUUUAGUAUUUUAUUUAUAACUUUAUUGUUGUUAUGCCAACAAAAAAACUUAUCAUAGAGAUGACUGUGGAUCAACAAGGAUGCCUCAAUAAAUAUAUCACCACACAUCACCCAUUUGUUGGAUGAAAAAUCAAAGAAAUGAAAUGCAAACUAAUUUGUAUAUUUUCUAUCGAUAGCAUAAUCUCUUGUUAUGUUUGGUAAUAAUAAUUGUGGUGUUUUUGUUAUGAAAUUUAUGAAGGCUUGAUUUAUAAUCGAUCUUUCGAUAUGCAAUAAGGGGACAUGCAUGGAUAUUAUGUAAUUUAUUAUUGAAGAUAACACUGGUAAUGUCCAUUACUAUGAUUCAUGAUCCAAUCUUGAUUUGGAGGCACACGUAAUGUCAAUUUGAUAAAAACAAGCACUAAUAUAAAUUUUGGGAUGAAGUGUUAAUUAUGUGAUGGUAUAUCACUGUCACUAUAAGUGAUUUAUAGUGUUUUCGUUGGUGUUACAGUGAUUUGGUGGUAUACGUGAUAUAAUGUUUCGAUAACUUGUGCAGUUCUAUUAAGUUAUGUUGCUACAGUAGUUUUUGUUAUAGUGUUUGGUUGUUGCGAUAUCCAUUUAUACUAUUCUAUGUGUUUUAUAAUUUAGGGGUUUUGAUUAAGUGAUUUACAAUGUCGUGUGUGUUUUGGACAAUGUAGAAUAUUGUUUUUUUAGUGAUUUAUAAUAUUAUUGUGUGUUUAUUGUGUUACAAUGUUGUUGUCUAGUGAUUUACAGUAAACAUCAUGAAAUAGUGAACCUUUACAGUUAUCAUUUAUAGUGUUUUCAAUAUAGUUACUAAAACACUCUAAUUCUGGAGGAACUGUUUUUCUUUUGUUUUUUCAAAACAUUCACAAUAAAUCUUGAGGAUAUCGAUCUAAUUUUUGUUUUUACAAUAUGUUUUCAAUAAUGUCAAAGAAAUAUUAUAAUGCUAAUCUAAAGUUGUGGUUUAGAUUUAAAUUUGUUUUGCUGGACUAAAGGAUUUCAAUCCAGUCUUUAACAAUAUAUUAUUUUUCAAGGAUAAUUAAAAAAACACUAUAAACAUCAUAUUUUUAUUUUCGACGCAACAUAGUCAACCACAGUAAAAACAUGAUCUUCACAUGUACAAACACAGUAAACCACAGUAGGAUACUAUUCUAGUCCAGAAAAUAGUAAACCUCAAUAUUUACACUCCUACAAAGUCAUAGUAAAACAAACCCAUACAAGCUAAAAAUAAUAUAUUUCAAAUAUAUAUAUAUAUAUAUAUAUAUAUAUAUAUAUCACCUAAAGUGAAUAAUGACUAAUUUCUACAAAUUUACAUACCACCAAGCACCAUAAUUCCUUUAAAUUGGAGACAGUACACAAGAAUAUAGCUUUUUUUAUUUCUUAAUUUGAUCAUCAAAAUUAAGUUUUGAUGACAAGUAUAGAAUCAUUCUGUAAGUUUUCUUCUCAUUAUUUUAUUAAAAAAUAUAUUGAUAAGUCAUGAACAAUCUCCAUCAGUAUAAGUUCAUAACCCUAGCCCAUUUUUAUUUUAGGUUGGACAGAGUAAAUCUACUAAUUCUUUUAUUCUAAUUAGUAAAAGAGAUCUUGAAAAAAUGAACUUAGAAGCUAAAAGAGGGUAUCAUGAGCAAUUGCAAGAAUUAGGUUCAUUAAUAUUUCUGGUAUAAUAGAUGCUUUUAUACAUACAAUCAUACUCAAUUCGAUGGAAUUAUUUGAUGUUAAAGGAGAUCUUCUAUAAUUUCAGAUGCAAGGGAUUAUUUCUUAAUUUCAUCCGAUCAUUAAUAACUUGAAUAUUUUUAGAUAAUAAUAGAUAGAAAUAAAAAUAACAAAUUCAUAUUUUUUGAUCUAUUUGUGUCAACAUUUAAUAUCAAUAUUAAAGGAAAUAAGUAUUAACACACCUCUCUUUCUCAAUUUGGCCAAUCCAAUGAUAAAUAUCAUUCUUUGUAUACAUUCAUUGAAUUUGUACAUGUUUAUUGUUCUGCCUAUAGUCCAAAAUAAUUUCUAUCACUAACAAGAUUAUUCGACAUAUGUACAAUAUAAUAUCUAUGAUAAUUUCAUAGAAGAUCUCCUUUAACAAUUGUAAGAAUAUCUAAGUUCUAAUUACUAAUGAUAGAUAAUGAUUUAAUUAUCCUGAUAAAACUUUAUAAUUAUAAUAAAUAUUUUAUUUGCAUGAUCCAUGCCCAUAGCCAUCAAUAAAGUGCUUUGCAUAUAUAUAUAUAUAUAUAUAUAUAUAUAUAUAUAUAUAUAUAUAUAUAUAUAUAUAUAUAUAUAUAUAUAUNNNNNNNNNNNNNNNNNNNNNNNNNNNNNNNNNNNNNNNNNNNNNNNNNNNNNNNNNNNNNNNNNNNNNNNNNNNNNNNNNNNNNNNNNNNNNNNNNNNNNNNNNNNNNNNNNNNNNNNNNNNNNNNNNNNNNNNNNNNNNNNNNNNNNNNNNNNNNNNNNNNNNNNNNNNNNNNNNNNNNNNNNNNNNNNNNNNNNNNNNNNNNNNNNNNNNNNNNNNNNNNNNNNNNNNNNNNNNNNNNNNNNNNNNNNNNNNNNNNNNNNNNNNNNNNNNNNNNNNNNNNNNNNNNNNNNNNNNNNNNNNNNNNNNNNNNNNNNNNNNNNNNNNNNNNNNNNNNNNNNNNNNNNNNNNNNNNNNNNNNNNNNNNNNNNNNNNNNNNNNNNNNNNNNNNNNNNNNNNNNNNNNNNNNNNNNNNNNNNNNNNNNNNNNNNNNNNNNNNNNNNNNNNNNNNNNNNNNNNNNNNNNNNNNNNNNNNNNNNNNNNNNNNNNNNNNNNNNNNNNNNNNNNNNNNNNNNNNNNNNNNNNNNNNNNNNNNNNNNNNNNNNNNNNNNNNNNNNNNNNNNNNNNNNNNNNNNNNNNNNNNNNNNNNNNNNNNNNNNNNNNNNNNNNNNNNNNNNNNNNNNNNNNNNNNNNNNNNNNNNNNNNNNNNNNNNNNNNNNNNNNNNNNNNNNNNNNNNNNNNNNNNNNNNNNNNNNNNNNNNNNNNNNNNNNNNNNNNNNNNNNNNNNNNNNNNNNNNNNNNNNNNNNNNNNNNNNNNNNNNNNNNNNNNNNNNNNNNNNNNNNNNNNNNNNNNNNNNNNNNNNNNNNNNNNNNNNNNNNNNNNNNNNNNNNNNNNNNNNNNNNNNNNNNNNNNNNNNNNNNNNNNNNNNNNNNNNNNNNNNNNNNNNNNNNNNNNNNNNNNNNNNNNNNNNNNNNNNNNNNNNNNNNNNNNNNUCUAACAAUUGAAUCAUUGUAUCAUAGUCGUGAAGCAUAAAUUCCCUUAGAAAUGAAAUCAACUCAAUAAAAACUCUACCAACUUUUUAGUGUUAUCUCAUGUGCUAAAUAUGUCAUUUUAUAAGAUACAGUGACACCAAAUCUUUUAUUAUGUAUAUCUAAAAUAAUCAUAUUUGGUAUAUAUGAUUCACUAAUACUUGAUCUUUAAUUUGAUUGAUAAUGAAUAUUCAUUCUAGGCAAAUUGCUUUGAUGUUCAUUACAAAACUUUAUAAACCACGAGUAUGCAUACAUCAUCCAUCCACGAUCUUUAUCUGCACAUCGAACCUUAAUCUUUUUACUUGAUAUGCUUCACAUCAAAGUUCCUUCCUAUUACAUACUCUUUCAUAAUUUUUUUGAAUUCCUGUCUAUCAUAAAAUACAUGUAAAGAAGCCACAAACAUUUUUUUUAAUCAUUCAGUAUUUAGAAAAUAACAACAACAAAGUUUAUAGAAAUUUUAUAGAUAUAUUAUUUUUUUGUUUGGGUUAUCAAAUCCUCAUUUUUGACAUACGGAAUCAAGAAGUUUAAUGUAAAAUUAUUAUUUUUAUUUCUCGAAUGACUAACGCUAGUGAUCUCUAUUUUGCUUAACUCUCCGAUAUGAUUCAUAUACCUGCCCUCUCAUUUAUACAUGUAACCUCAUAAAUAACAUCAUAAGUGGUAUAUUAUUGGUUAUCAAAUCCUUAUUUUUGACAUACGGAAUCAAAAUAUUCAAUGUAAAAGCAUCAUUUUUAUUUCUCGAAUGACGAACGCAUUUUUAUUUCUCGAAUGACUAACGCUAGUUAUCUUUAUUUUUCUUAACUCUCCAAUAUGAUUCAUAUACGUGCCCUUGUUUACGCAUACAACCUCACAAAUAACAUCAUAAGCGAUAUAUCAUUGGUUAUCAAAUCUUCAUUUUUGACAUACUGAAUCAAAAUAUUCAGUGUAAAAUCAUCAUUUUUAUUUCUCGAAUGAUUAACGCUAGUUAACUCUAAUUUGCUUAACUCUCCAAAUACGUGCCCUUGUUUAUACAUACAACAUCACAGAAGGUAUAUAUAUAUAUAUAUUUCAAUCGAUGUAUCAUUCAACUUCAUCAUGGUUUUCUCGACCAAUUAAGUUUUAAUUAUAUUAUCACUCUCUUCAUUUUCACCUAAAAAUAUGUUUAUUUAAGUCAAAUUUAAAUAGCUGAAGUAAAAAUAUUUUUCUCUUUAGGAGACAUAAAAGUGAACAAAAUACUCAUCAAGAAAGAGAUUGUUUGGAUCGAUAGGGUUUAAUUAUUUUAUAAAUAUCUAAUGUACGAGCCCGAUUUCUUCCCACAGCUUUACAUCCUGCCACCACAUAGAAAUGGCAUUGCCAUCAGAAUCUUCAAGCCCAAAUCCAAUGCCUCCUGUUUCAUGUUGGUUAAAUCAUCAUCCAUCUGAGUUCAUUUUGUAAGAUCGAACUUCAACUCUGAUCAGAUCCACAGUAUGCAUCAUCAACAUUUUUGUUCCCAUAUGACAUGACAUCAAGCUCUUACUCUUUUGAAGUAUUCGGCUUCCUCUACUAUUUCUUUCCUUCAAGCUUUGGCAAAAGAAAGGCUUACUGUUUCUCAAGCUUUUGGCAGCAACCGAAGGACCGGAGAAGAGACUUCCUCCUCCACCAUGAUACAAUUCCUUGCUUCUGAUGGACUCCCACUGUCAGUCAGCUGCAACACAUGAUUCAUUCAGUCAUUCAUUCAUGACCAGAUCACCUAAAAAGACUCGUUUCGGAUCUCGAUAGCUUUCACUACCACGAAAAGAACAUAUGCCUGUUGUGCUGCAAUGAGCUUGAGAUUCGUUUUUGAGGCACUUGUUGAACACAGUUUCUAGUUCUCGAUGACUUUUGGCUCUUCAACUAUCCAAGUUGGGGAGCUAAGAAAAGGAGAAAAAGAUACUGAUUGAGCAUUUGUGUGAUGAAAUCAAAGAUCAAUGAUAGGCAUGAAAGAGGCCACUGUGGCACCGAUGAGUAUUGUUGACACCUGAACUUUAUCUGCUUCACUCAUCAGAGGGAAUCGUGAAAGAUCAAAGUGAUUGCUUCGUUGAUGACAGAAAAGAGGAAGCAUUAAGAAACAGGAAACAAAAAGGUUACAUCAGUCUCAGAUCCAUAUGGCCAAAAGGAACUACUUGUGAGCCAAAUCUCUGCAGAAUUUGUGCUGCUGCAAGCAAUGAUAUUGAAAUGAAAGGUAGUGUGUGCAUGCAGUGGAUGGAUUGCCAUCUCAAUUCUACUUUCUUGUGUUUCCACACCAAGAUAGAAUCUGAGUGCAGCACUCACUCACUCACUACUCAGCGAUCUGUUCAUGCUCUUCUUUUUCCUUUUUCUUAUAGAAGAAAGGUACAGAGAAUCAUUUAUGGGCCCUCAAAAUAAGGUUAAGAAAAACUUAAUCAUUGCAGGCAGAAAAAAAUCACAAUCAAUUUCUCAAUCAUCUCUUUGAACUCCCCAACUUUGUAUGGGGAGAAAAAUAGGUGAAUGAAGAAUAACAUGCCAAGAAACACUAAAUAUUUUAGUGGCUUAUUAGUGAUCAGAUUCAAGUGUACAUACUCUAUAUGUUGUUGAUAGACAGUUUGGUUGCCAAAUCAAAGGGUUUGAACUGCGAAAAGGCAUUCAACUCAAACAGAAAGACAGCUAAUUGAAAUUAUGACUUCUUUGUUUUCAGUUUAAUCCUCUUCUUUAGAUAGAUCAUCACAACAAAAACAUUUGAGAAAGGCAAAGCUUGGAGAAAAAUAAUCAAAAGAAAAGACAUUCGUAUCUAUGUUUACUAAAUGCAAAAGAGCACCAAAGACUAAAAGAUUUGAGUGCUGCACAUGAUGCAAAUUCCCUGGAGGCAAAAAAGCUUCAACAAACUGGCCUACAAAUUGGACCUACUACUUGUGUUGCUACAUAGUUUUCGUAGCAAACUUUGCCGGAGAUGUUAUCAUCUGCCAUGGCCAAACCCUUGCAGUUCGUCUUCCUCAUUUUUGCUUCUCUUUCUGCCUGUGCUAUUUCGAAACAGACCACGGAGGUAUUGAUGAAGUACAUCAGUUCUCAUCUGACUUUUUGCCCAAUAAAACUUUGAUCCUUUUUCUAUGUCGGUAUCGAGAGAAACAGGAAUGGUUUGAACGAUUUGUUCUAUUUUCCCAUUUGUAUGUAGUCAGCAAGCACCAUAGUUAUAGUCGUCCAUUAGAUUUUGCUGAGCUGAAUGCCAUCUUUCGUUAGACCAUAAAUUAGCAUGCAAGCUUUAAAUCAUACAAGUAGAAGAUUGCUUCAUGUUGUGAAUCUUUUACAAGAAAAAUCUUCACUUUCAAGUCACCUUAUUUUUAUGGUUUCUGCAGCUAAUUUUGUUUUCUAUUGCAGCCUUAUGUCGUCUACAUGGGGAGCAAACCACAAGAUGGAGACCAUGAAACUCAACAAGCAGCUCACUUGCAAAUGUUGUCCUCAGUUAUUCCGAGGCAAGAGUUUUUGUUAAACAUUGACAAUAAAAUAGUAAUCUUAACAUGGAAACCAUCAGCCUGCAACCUUCUGUUUAACUUUUAUGUUGGUCGUAACAGUGAGGAGAAAGAAAGAGUGUCCCUGAUGCAAAGUUACCAUCAUGCAUUCAAGGGGUUCUCAGCUAUGCUUACCGAAAAGGAAGCCGCUUUAUUAUCUGGUUGGUGUUUUCAUCUUCCAGCUCAAUUGAAUCGACUUUUAAUCAUUUCCUCAUUCACAAACUUCAAUUCAUUGGAUCAGAUGCAAGUUAACAAUCUCAGUCUUGAUUGCUAUCUCUCUAUUCUGAUCGAGUGUUUUGGAUGCUUCACAUCAGGCUUUGAUGAAGUGGUGUCGGUUUUCCCUGACCGGAUUCUUCAACUUCAUACUACGCGUUCUUGGGAUUUCUUGGACGCAGAAUCAGGCAUUGGAUCGCAGCGACUCCGGCGAAAAGCUUCCAGUGACGUUAUAAUUGGCAUCAUUGAUACUGGUAAUUUCCUUUAUUUUUAUCUGCGACAACAUUCCACACCUGCAGUUAGUGGAGAAACUCUAUCUUAAAUGUCAAAUUUUAGGAACAGACACUAUAGUAGAAAAAGAAAGAUACAUAAAGCAAAUAUGUUAGGUUUAAUGUUUUACCCGAUUCUUCAUUCUUAAUUACAUGCAAACAUAUGUUCUUAUGAUGUUGCAUAGAAUGAAAAUAUGUGAUGCUAGUUUAUGUCUGCAGGUGUAUGGCCAGAAUCACCUAGUUUCAAUGAUGCUGGGAUGGGGAGGAUCCCAUCAAGAUGGAAAGGGAUUUGCAUGGAAGGAUCUGACUUCAAAAAAUCUAACUGUAAUAGGUAAAUGCAUAAGCUGCUAGUUGGCAAUGGAAAGAAUUAUUUAAAAAUUGUCUUGAUAAAAUUGCGAGGAAAUAUUAAUACAUUCUUACUUUUGAUGCACAUACUCUUCAAAUGAAGUUUAGGAAGUCGAAGAUUAGUAAGAGUCAUACUUCCAGAAUCAGACUUUGUUGGGAAGAUUCUCAUUUCUAGGACAUUUUAAUACAACAAUUUGAUGUUUUCAAUCAAAUUAAAUGAUUCGAGGAAAAAACUUAAUAUAACAUGAUCAUCCUCAUUAUUUUUUUUAUCCAACUGACACACACAAGAAACAAUGAAACUGUUUGAAAGAGUAGAUUGAAGCCUUUUUAUCAUCAUACAUAUUCCUCACCUCUGUUUAAGCUCCUGUGAAUUCGUAGGAAGCUGAUAGGUGCAAGAUACUACACCAGCCAACCAGAAUCGAUCCGACCUCCAUCAAAUGGAUCCCAUGCCAUCAAAGUAGAUGCUUUUGGAUCACCAAGGGAUUCUGUAGGCCAUGGCACACACACAUCAUCUACAGCUGCUGGCUCCAUGGUGCCAAAUGCUAGCUACUAUGGCCUUGCACAGGGGGUGGCCAAGGGAGGUUCUCCUUCAAGUAGGCUCGCUGUGUACAAGGCAUGCUCACUUGGUGGAUGUGCCGGCUCAACUGUAAUGAAAGCAAUCGAUGAUGCUAUUGAUGAUGGCGUCGACAUGAUCUCAAUAUCAAUAGGAAUGAGCUCUGUGUUCCAGUCAGAUUUUCUUAGCGACCCCAUAGCUAUUGGUGCAUUCCAUGCUCACCAGAGAGGCGUGUUGGUCAUCUGUUCGGGUGGAAAUGAUGGACCAGAUCCUUACACUGUGGUCAAUUCAGCUCCAUGGAUCCUAACAGUUGCAGCUUCAAGCAUUGAUAGGAAUUUCCAAUCAACAAUAGUUCUUGGUAAUGGAAAUAUGUUCAAGGUAAGUUAGAAAUCCCACUCUUUUGCAUCUGUCUUAAUACGACUUCAGAUUCUCUUUCAUCUUUAGAUCAAAUGGCCAAGAAAUAGCUUCUUAAACAGACCAAAUUUAGACAAACUCAUUCUGAAUUCUUUAGGAAAUUAGUCUCAAGACAAACUCAUAAUGUGUGAAAAUUUUCCAAUGUUCACAGGGAACAGCCAUAAAUUUCUCCAAUCUUAAUCGAUCCGAAUCAUAUCCCCUUGUAUUCGGUGGAGCCGUAGCAGCAGAAUCUACACCGAUAUCAGAAGCAAGGUACCUUAAUGGCUUGCAUAGUUAUUUCUUCGAAUUUAAUAAUCUUCCUCAUAGAAUCAUGCAUUAUGCAUAACAAUAUUUAUUCAUAACAUUGAUUAUCAUGCAAUUGUUCCAUAGCAAUUGCUAUCCUGGAUCGCUUGAUGCUGAUAAAGCUGCUGGGAAGAUAAUAGUGUGUGUCGACACUGAUCCAACAGUAACAAGACGAAUAAAGAAGUUGGUGGCUGAAGGAGCUAGAGCUAAAGGCCUGAUCCUAGUUGAUGAGGCAGAAAGAGGUGUGCCAUUUGAUUCUGGCAGUUUCCCAUUCUCAGAGGUUGAAAAUGAUGUGGGAGUUCAGAUACUUAAGUACAUAAACUCUACCAAGUAAGCUGUAAAGACAUCUAUCCAAGUCUCAUGCUAAAUAUAUGUUUUGAACUCAUGGAAGUUACUAAUAUAGCAUUCAUUUUAUAUACCUGACUAGUCCUUUCUGAUGAAUGCAGAAAGCCUUCAGCAGUCAUUCUAUCAGCUGAGGAAGUAAAAGUGUUCAAACCAGCACCAGUUGUGGCGUACUUCUCAGCCAGGGGCCCUGGAGGACUCACUGAAGCCAUUCUUAAGGUUUGGGAUUCUUCUAAUGCUUGAUUCAGAUGGCAUAAACACGUGUACGAGUGACCUCUGUCAUC
rnacentral:lncRNA from 1 species